UACGUAGGGUCCGAGCGUUGUCCGGAAUUACUGGGCGUAAAGAGCUCGUAGGUGGUUUGUCGCGUUGUUCGUGAAAACUCACAGCUCAACUGUGGGCGUGCGGGCGAUACGGGCAGACUAGAGUACUGCAGGGGAGACUGGAAUUCCUGGUGUAGCGGUGGAAUGCGCAGAUAUCAGGAGGAACACCGGUGGCGAAGGCGGGUCUCUGGGCAGUAACUGACGCUGAGGAGCGAAAGCGUGGGGGAGCAAGCAGG
rnacentral:rRNA from 1 species